ACUAAUACUAGCCUAAUAUUCACAUAUAACUCAAGUACUAUAUAUAUAUAUAUAUUACAAACAAAACAUUUACAUCUAAAAGUAUAGGUGAUAGAAAUUUAAAAUUUACAUAGCGCUAUAGAGAUAGUACCGUAAGGGAAAGAUGAAAGAAGAAUAAAAGUACAAACAAGCAUAGAUUACACCUAGUACCUUUUGCAUAAUGAGUUAACUAGAAUAAACUUGACAAAAAGAAUUUAAGUCAAAAUUCCCGAAACCAAACGAGCUACUUCUGAACAGCUAACAUGAGCAAACUCGUCUAUGUAGCAAAAUAGUGAGAAGAUUUAGAAGUAGAGGUGAAAAGCCUAUCGAGCUUGGUGAUAGCUGGUUAUCCAAAUAAGAAUCUCAGUUCAGCUUUAAGUUUUCCUAAAAACCAUAAAAUUUAAAUGAAAACUUAAAUGCUAAUUUAAGGAGGGACAGCUCCUUAAGUAAGGAUACAUCCUUAAACAGAGGGUAAAAACUAUAAAUACCAUAGUAGGCUUAAAAGCAGCCACCAAUUAAGAAAGCGUUCUAGCUCAACAAAACACCUAAUUUUAUCCCUAAAACAUAUCAAUAAACCCCUGUCGAGACAAUUGGAUUAAUCUAUUAUUUCAUAGAAGAAACAAUGUUAAUAUUAGUAAUUAGAAUUAUUUCUCCUUGCACAAGCCUAAACUAUUCAAACAUAAUAAAUUAACAACCAUAUAAAAGAUACACCUACAAGUAGAUUAUUACUGCAAUUGUUAUCCCAACCCAGGAGUGCAAUAAGGAAAGACUAAAACAAGUAAAAGGAACUCGGCAAACAUAAACCCCGCCUGUUUACCAAAAACAUCACCUCUAGCAUGAUAAGUAUUAGAGGCAAUGCCUGCCCAGUGACAUUUCUGUUCAACGGCCGCGGUAUCCUGACCGUGCAAAGGUAGCAUAAUCACUUGUUCCUUAAAUAGGGACUAGUAUGAACGGCUUAACGAGGGUUUAACUGUCUCUUUCUUGUAGUCAAUGAAAUUGACCUUCCCGUGAAGAGGCGGGAAUUAAACAAUAAGACGAGAAGACCCUAUGGAGCUUUAAUUCAUUAAUUCAAUUUUACAACACUAAAUCAACAAGAACUAAAACUUAAAUUAUGAAUUAAUAAUUUUGGUUGGGGUGACCUCGGAGUAAAAAGAAACCUCCGAAUGAUAUUAACCUAGACACACAAGUCAAAGAUAUAUCAUAAAUUGACCCAGAACUUAUCUGAUCAACGGACCAAGUUACCCUAGGGAUAACAGCGCAAUCCUAUUUCAGAGUCCAUAUCGACAAUAGGGUUUACGACCUCGAUGUUGGAUCAGGACUUCCAAAUGGUGCAGCCGCUAUUAAAGGUUCGUUUGUUCAACGAUUAAAGUCCUACGUGAUCUGAGUUCAGACCGGAGUAAUCCAGGUCGGUUUCUAUCUAUUAAAAAUUUCUCCUAGUACGAAAGGACAAGAGAAAUAAGGCCAAUGAAUCAAUUAUGCCUUAGUAGCUAAAAGAUGAUAUCAUAUCAACCCAGCAGCUACUAAAAACACACGACCCGAGAGAAGGGUUU
rnacentral:rRNA from 1 species